CGGCCAUUUUAGGUGGUCCGCGGCGGCGCCAUUAAAGCGAGGAGGAGGCAAGAGCGGCCGCCGCUGCUUCUUAUUCUUUUUUAGUGCAGCCGGAGGGAGCGGGAGUGUGCCGCACAAGAGUGGGAGGCGAGGGAAGCAGGCCAGGGAGAGGCGCAGGAGCGUUUGCAGCCACGCGCGCGCCCUCUCUGUCUUGUGUGCUUCGCGAGGUAGAGCGAGCGCGCGACAGCGGCGGGGAUUACUUUGCUGCUAGUUUCGGUUCGCGGCAGCGGCGGGUGUAGUUUCGGCGGCGGCGGAGGCAGUAGCACUAUGUCGGAGGAGCAGUUCGGCGGGGACGGGGCGGCGGCGGCGGCAACGGCGGCGGUAGGCGGCUCGGCGGGCGAGCAGGAAGGAGCCAUGGUGGCAGCGCAAGGGACAGCGGCGGCGGCGGGAAGCGGAACCGGGACCGGGGGCGGAACCGCAGCGGGAGGCACCGAAGCGGGCAGCGCGGAGUCGGAGGGGGCGAAGAUCGACGCCAGUAAGAAUGAAGAGGAUGAAGGCCAUUCAAACUCCUCCCCACGACACACUGAAGCAGCGACGGCACAGCGGGAAGAAUGGAAAAUGUUUAUAGGAGGCCUUAGCUGGGACACUACAAAGAAAGAUCUGAAGGACUACUUCUCUAAAUUUGGUGAAGUUGUAGACUGCACUCUGAAGUUAGAUCCUAUCACAGGGCGAUCAAGGGGUUUUGGCUUUGUGCUGUUUAAAGAGUCGGAGAGUGUAGAUAAGGUCAUGGAUCAGAAAGAACAUAAAUUGAAUGGGAAAGUGAUUGAUCCUAAAAGGGCCAAAGCCAUGAAAACAAAAGAACCUGUUAAAAAAAUUUUCGUUGGUGGCCUUUCUCCAGAUACACCUGAGGAGAAAAUAAGGGAGUACUUUGGUGGUUUUGGUGAGGUGGAAUCCAUAGAGCUCCCCAUGGACAACAAGACCAAUAAGAGGCGUGGAUUCUGCUUUAUUACCUUUAAGGAAGAGGAACCAGUGAAAAAGAUAAUGGAAAAGAAAUACCACAAUGUUGGUCUUAGUAAAUGUGAAAUAAAAGUAGCCAUGUCAAAGGAACAGUAUCAACAACAGCAGCAGUGGGGAUCUAGAGGCGGAUUUGCAGGAAGAGCUCGUGGAAGAGGUGGUGGCCCCAGUCAAAACUGGAACCAGGGAUAUAGUAACUAUUGGAAUCAAGGCUAUGGCAACUAUGGAUAUAACAGCCAAGGUUACGGUGGUUAUGGAGGAUAUGACUACACUGGUUACAACAACUACUAUGGAUAUGGUGAUUAUAGCAACCAGCAGAGUGGUUAUGGGAAAGUAUCCAGGCGAGGUGGUCAUCAAAAUAGCUACAAACCAUACUAAAUUAUUCCAUUUGCAACUUAUCCCUAACAGCGGGAACUUCAUUGCAGGCCCUGUGUCGCGCUGACUUCACGAUUCUCACAGGCCCGCUCAAUGCGGACAGGGUACGAGAUGCUCACGCUCUCGAAUGCUGCCGUUUGGUGGCGAAGCAGUAUUUUCCAAUUUGAAGAUUCAUUUGAGGGUGGCUCCUGCCACCUGCAAUAGCAGUUCAAAUUAAAUUUUUGUAUCAAGUCCCUGAAUGGAAGUAUGACGUUG